GGUUACCUUGAAAUUGAUGAGGAAUGAAGGUGAGGACUUAGUGCUUCGACAACCAAAAUAGUUGAAUCGCCUUUGCAAAGGUGAAAGCUACUUUUUGAUGAAAACCAAUAUAGUGAAGGGGCAAUGAUUGGUGAAUACCAACAGACAUCAAUCCAGUAGAUUAUGAGAAGAAAAGGUCAAUAAGAGAUAUGCACCAAAGAAAACCAAUAUAGCAAGCAAGUCUUGACUUGGUUGAGGAUUGACA
rnacentral:lncRNA from 1 species